UACGGAGGGUGCAAACGUUGUUCGGAAUUACUGGGCGUAAAGCGCGUGUAGGCUGCUCUGCAAGUCGGAUGUGAAAGCCCUGGGCUCAACCUAGGAAGUGCACUCGAAACUGCAGAGCUUGAGUCCUGGAGAGGAAGGCGGAAUUCUCGGUGUAGAGGUGAAAUUCGUAGAUAUCGAGAGGAACACCGGUGGCGAAGGCGGCCUUCUGGACAGUGACUGACGCUGAGACGCGAAAGCGUGGGGAGCAAACAGG
rnacentral:rRNA from 1 species